AUUGAACGCUGGCGGCAUGCCUUACACAUGCAAGUCGAACGGCAGCACGGGAGCAAUCCUGGUGGCGAGUGGCGAACGGGUGAGUAAUAUAUCGGAACGUGCCCAGUCGUGGGGGAUAACGUAGCGAAAGCUACGCUAAUACCGCAUACGAUCUAUGGAUGAAAGCGGGGGAUCGCAAGACCUCGCGCGAUUGGAGCGGCCGAUAUCAGAUUAGGUAGUUGGUGGGGUAAAAGCCUACCAAGCCUUCGAUCUGUAGCUGGUCUGAGAGGACGACCAGCCACACUGGAACUGAGACACGGUCCAGACUCCUACGGGAGGCAGCAGUGGGGAAUUUUGGACAAUGGGCGAAAGCCUGAUCCAGCCAUGCCGCGUGCAGGAAGAAGGCCUUGGUUGUAACUAGCUUAGUCUAGAAAAGGGUAGACGAGGUAAUACCUCGUGCUUGAUGGUACUGGAGAAUAAGACACCGGCUAACUACGUAGCCAGCACG
rnacentral:rRNA from 1 species